rnacentral:sRNA from 1 species
GCCGGGCGUGGUGGCGCACACCUGUAAUCCCAACAGCUCAGGAGGCUGAGGAAGGAGGAUCACGCAUUCAAAGCCAGCCUCAGUAAUUUAGCAAGGCCAUAAGCAACUCAGCAAGACCCUGUCUCUA